AGCUCAUGAAUAUUGCUGCAUUUCCCCGACAAGCUCCGGCACCGCUUGGUACCUCGUGCGUCCGCCUGGGUGCAUUUUACCAGCUAGCCGGAAACAAAGUGGGGGCUCAUUAAACAGGGAAACCGGCAGAGACGCAAUGUGCUGCCACUUCUCGCAGGCUCUGUGAGGAUACUCCACCCCCUCCCCCAAGGUCUGGUUGUAUUGCAAAGUUUGCUCAAGGAAGGACAGGAGUGAGCGAUUCUUGGUUUUGUUGUAUUAGUUUUUUUAAAGGGAUGCUGAAGUUUGUGCGACCAAAUAGGCCUGUGCGAGGAAGGCACGCUGGUAGGAGCCAUUCGAUGCCUUUGCCAGUUCUUCAGUGAAACAGACGAGGCUGCGGGGAAACUUCCCGAAGGAAAACAGAUCGGAGAAAACCACGAGUAAGAGGACGAUGAUUCUGGGAGGACUGGACAUCUCUGCGACUCCCCGGAGGUAGCAUCCGCCAUGAGUCAGCCACCUGUCGGGGGCGCUGCUGCGGCAGCCUCGCCUCGCUUGCAUCCAGAAGGCAGCAGCCGGAGCAAGCAACAGCAACCGCAGCGCGCAUCCUCUCCAGGCAGACCCCGGGACUCUCCCGCCCGCCAGCCCUCCCCGGCUGCUAACGCGCCCCGCUCCACCGGGCCGGCUGCACUCGGGGCGUCAAAAGCAACCUCGUCCCGGCAGCCGCCGCCGGGGCAGAAACCCAGCCGGGCCAAAGCAGGGGGAGGGGGAGGGGACAAGCAGCCCCCGCAGGUUGCGCCGCCGCCGCUCAGGAGCGCGGGGCCGCUGGGAGCUGUCCAGGCCGGGGGAGGUGCUGAAACGCAAGUCGCCUCGCCCUUGGCGCUGGCAGGCGGGAUCCCGAAAAGGCUCGCAGGGCCCGCAGCUGACGAACGGGAGGCGCCCGCGAAAGACUCGGCCUCCGGAGCCGGCGAACAGCCGCCGCCGCCGCUUCUUCCCGCAGGCGAGGGGGACCGGGAAGGCGCGGCUGCGCCUCCCAAGGGCUGGAGCCGGGGUAAAGCGGGGAGGCCUCUGCAAAAGGGCGGGGGGGAGGCGGCGGCGGCUCCUCCAUCUUCUUGUGGCGCAGGAAAGGGCCGGGCCCUGGCGGGGGGCGGCGGCGGCUACUGGAAGGAAGGAUGCCUGCAAAGUGAGCUCAUCCAGUUCCAUCUCAGGAAGGGGCUGGCGGCGGCCCAGAUGCAAAGCAAAGGCGGCGACCAGAACAACGGCGGCGCCUCGGCGGCCGAGCAGCCCCAGCGGGCCUCCCCCGGUGCCCCCGGCCCUUCUCCAAUGGCGCCGGUGGGGGCCGAAGAAGGCAAUGGCCGCAGCGGAGCUCCCGAAGGCGCCUCCAGCUUGAACCUUCGGCAGCAGCAGGAGCUGCAAGAGGAGGCGGAGAAGCUGCGGGAGGAGAACGAGACCCUCAAGAAUGAAAUAGAUGAAAUGAGGACUGAGAUGGAUGAGAUGAGAGACAGCUUCUUUGAAGAGGAUGCCUGCCAGCUUCAGGAAAUGCGGCAUGAGUUGGAGAGGGCUAACAAAAACUGUAGGAUCCUUCAGUAUCGUCUUCGUAAGGCAGAAAGGAAGAGACUCCGCUAUGCACAAACUGGGGAGAUAGAUGGAGAACUUCUGCGUAGCUUGGAACAGGACUUGAAGGUUGCAAAGGAUGUUUCAGUAAGACUUCAUCAUGAGUUGGAAAAUGUGGAAGAAAAACGAACAACUACUGAAGAUGAAAAUGAUAAGUUAAGACAGCAGCUGAUAGAAGUGGAGAUUACUAAACAGGCUCUGCAGAAUGAACUUGACAAGAUGAAAGAGCAAUCCAUGAAAAGAAGAGGAAGCAAAGACUUGCAGAAAUCAGAAAAAAAGUCACAGCAGACACCUACUGAAGAGGACAAUGAAGAUUUGAAAUGCCAGUUGCAGUUUGUCAAAGAGGAGGCUGCCCUCAUGAGGAAAAAAAUGGCUAAAAUAGAUAAAGAGAAGGACAGAUUUGAGCAUGACCUUCAAAAAUACAGAUCUCUCUAUGGUGAUCUAGACAGCCCCUUACCAAAAGGGGAAGCUGGAGGUCCUCCUACCACAAGAGAAGCAGAACUUAAGCUUCGUCUGAGGUUAGUAGAAGAAGAAGCAAAUAUUCUGGGAAGAAAAAUAGUGGAGCUGGAAGUAGAAAACAGAGGGCUGAAAGCAGAGCUUGAUGACUUAAGAGGCGAUGACUUCUCAGGGACAGCCAAUCCUCUCAUGAGGGAACAGAGCGAAUCUCUGUCAGAGUUACGACAGCAUCUGCAGCUAGUUGAGGAUGAAACCGAAUUGCUAAGGAGAAACUUAGCAGAUGUGGAAGAACAAAAUAAGCGGAUCACAACAGAGCUAAACAAAUACAAAUACAAGUCUGGGGCUCAUGACAGUUCAAGGCACCAUGAUAGUGCCAAGACAGAAGCUCUGCAGGAAGAGCUCAAAGCUGCUCGCAUGCAGAUCAAUGAACUCAGUGGUAAAGUCAUGCAACUUCAGUACGAAAAUAGAGUCUUGAUGUCCAACAUGCAGCGCUAUGACCUAGCUUCUCAUCUAGGGAUCCGGGGCAGUCCCAGAGACAGUGAUGCUGAAAGUGAUGCAGGGAAAAAAGAAAGUGAUGAUGACUCCCGUCCCCCACAUCGCAAAAGAGAAGGGCCCAUUGGUGGGGAAAGUGACUCGGAGGAAGUCCGCAACAUCCGUUGCCUGACCCCCACUAGAUCAUUCUAUCCAGCCCCAUCAGGGUGGCAGAAGAGUUUCACAGACCGGCAACAGAUGAAGGAUAUCCGCUGUGAAGCAGAGCGUCUUGGCAAGACGAUAGACCGCCUGAUUUCUGACACGAGCACUAUCAUUGCAGAGGCAAGAAUUUAUGUGGCAAAUGGAGAUCUCUUUGGACUAAUGGAUGAUGAAGACGAUGGCAGUAGGAUACGGGAGCACGAACUUCUUUAUCGGAUAAAUGCCCAGAUGAAGGCAUUUAGAAAAGAACUCCAGGCUUUCAUUGACAGACUAGAAGUUCCAAAGUCUUCGGAUGAUCGAAGUGCAGAUGAACCCUUGUCAGUGAGUCAGAUAAGAAGUCCAAGAGCUAUAGUUUCUGUAGUAAUCACUGCUGUAAAAACACUGAAGACUACUUGUUUGCAAGAAGGAGAACCCAAUCUUACAUGCCAAACCCUGGAAAAAGCAAGCAAAAUCCUCCUUAAUUUAAAUGAAUCCAAAUUGUGCUCACUAAGAAAUGCCAGGGCUGGGGAUUGGAAGAGGCUUUGAAACCAUCCUCCACAAGCUGACGUCACGUAGAAACCAGCUGCUGGGAUGAUGCUAAACGGAACUGUUUUUCAGUUGGCAAAAAGUUGCAAGGCUGAUCUAUUGGACUUCUAAAGGCUUAACUGGCCGAGAAACUGAGCCCUCUCAUCUCUUAAGGACUGAUAUUCUCAGAACUGGAAACCUUUGCCCAACCUCACAGCCUUCAUUGCUAGUUUACAGGUGGACUGAAAUCCUUCUGAUGGGAUUUUUCCCCUACAAAAGGCAGGUAUAAGCAGAAGAGAAUUUGCUAGAUCCAAAGUCUGCUUUGGAAAACAUUGGAAGCAAACCUCAAAGAGGAGAAACAAAGCUAGCUUCAGAGUCCAAUGACAAGUCUGGAUGAAAGUUGGAAAGAGAAAGGACUAA